AGUCAAGGUUUGGAGGCUCACAUGUGGCAGCAGCAAAACCUAAUUUGAGCACCCAGAGGAAAACCUCUCAGAUGUUAGAGCACUCCAGUUCAGCUACAGUUUCAUGUCCACCCUCUGAUCCUCAUCCUCCUCCAUCCCCCAAACCUCAUCAGCCCGUCAUCCAGUCCUCCUCUUCCUUCUUCCUUCCUCCACCUCAGAGUUCACAACGCAUCAAAAAAACAGCAACGCCAUCAACUGUUUCUGAGAAUACUGUUGUGAGGAGCCCACAGGUCUCAUCUCAGCCAGAAGAUCUCCCCCUUCUGUGGCCACAGACAAUGCCACAGCAAGACCAGAAGUGGGUGUCAGAAGCACUUUUUAGGGUACAGUUGUGGU